GGGCGAUUAGCUCAGUUGGUAGAGCAUCUCCCUUACAAGGAGGAGGUCACUGGUUAGAGCCCGGUAUCGCCCACCA
rnacentral:tRNA from 1 species